UGUGAUGUUGGUCUUCCUUCACAGGAGAUAAAGUUGGAAUGGGGCAAGGGCUUAGCUCAAAAACGAGAAGCAGAAGCUGAACUUAAGGAAUUAGAACUUGAGAAGGAUAGACCAUUUGCACGGACAAGGAAUGAUGCAGAACUUGACUCAAUGUUGAGGGAUAGACUGAGAUGGGGUGAUCCUAUGGCACAUUUGGUGAAGAAAAGGCAAUCUGAGAUGGUUCUUCCUGACCUAGGGGACAGCGAGAAGAUGAAGGAAUCAGGGUUCAUUAUUCCUCAGGACAUUCCACCUCACAGCUGGCUGAAAAGAGGAUUGGAUGCUGCACCUAAUCGAUAUGGUAUAAGACCAGGAAGACAUUGGGAUGGGGUUGAUCGUAGCAACGGAUUCGAG
rnacentral:misc_RNA from 1 species